rnacentral:rRNA from 1 species
UACGUAGGGUGCAGGCGUUAAUCGGAAUUACUGGGCGUAAAGGGCGCGUAGGCGGUCGUGACAAGUCACUUGUGAAAUCUCCGGGCUUAACUCGGAACGGUCAAGUGAUACUGUCGGACUAGAGUACAGAAGGGGCAACUGGAAUUCUCGGUGUAGCGGUGAAAUGCGUAGAUAUCGAGAGGAACACCUGCGGCGAAGGCGGGUUGCUGGGCUGAUACUGACGCUGAGGCGCGAAAGCCAGGGGAGCGAACGGG